rnacentral:rRNA from 1 species
CAGCAGCCGCGGUAAUACGAAGGGUGCGAGCGUUAAUCGGAAUUACUGGGCGUAAAGCGUACGCAGGCGGUCUGUUAAGUCAGAUGUGAAAUCCCCGGGCUUAACCCGGGAACUGCAUUUGAAACUGGCAGGCUAGAGUCUCGUAGAGGGGGGUAGAAUUCCAGGUGUAGCGGUGAAAUGCGUAGAGAUCUGGAGGAAUACCGGUGGCGAAGGCGGCCCCCUGGACGAAGACUGACGCUCAGGUACGAAAGCGUGGGGAGCAAACAGGAUUAGAUACCCCAGUAGUCCCUGUCUCUUAUAC